rnacentral:rRNA from 1 species
AGUAACGCGUGGGUAACCUGCCCUUUUGUGGGGAAACAACUUCGAGAAAUCGGAGCUAAUACCGCAUAAUAAUAGAGGAUCGCAUGAUUCUUUAAGGAAAGAUGGCCUCUGAAGAUGCUAUCGCAAAAGGAUGGACCCGCGUCUGAUUAGCUAGUUGGAAGGGUAACGGCCUACCAAGGCAACGAUCAGUAGCCGGCCUGAGAGGGCGAACGGCCACAUUGGGACUGAGACACGGCCCAAACUCCUACGGAAGGCAGCAG